AGAUGAAGUUGUUAAUCCUGCUGAUGCGCGCCGCUGUCGUCGGGAUAUUUGUGAGGGGAAGCACCCUUUUCGAGAGAUUUCAGAGAAGAAUUGGUGCUCUGCCGCAGGCCUCUGUCCUCACGUGGUACUUCUGUUUCACAUGGCCAUUGCCGGUCUUCCUAAUUCUGCUGUCUCGCCGACAGCUCCUGCGGCCCCUCUCUUUGCUGGUGCAUUGGCUGCUGUGCUAGAUAUUUCGUCUUUGUGCUCUUCUUGCUUGGUGGAUAUUCAUAUGUACAGAUGCUGGCUUCCCAUCUAUUUUGCAAAGGACAAUUUCUUCUAGUUCUAAUGUGCGCACGAGAGGGGGGCGUCAGGGUUCGUUGUCAGCUAGCUGUCUGAAUCUUCGUGCUUCGGAUUGGUCUGAUGAUCUACAGCACGUACGACGGAGGACAACAGAAUUCUACUGAAUUGUGGCGGCGCCGUCAAGAGAUUGAUGAAGGAAAACGUCCUGUGUUGGGUUCUUCAGAUUGUGCCUGAACUAGCGGGAGCCUCUGAAGCAGCGAGAGAGUAACGGAUGGGGAAACUGGCAGAUCCUUUUGUGUGGACGACAACUCGACGGUGGCAACUCGACCAGGUUUGCCGUGAGAAGGCCAGACUAUGCGAGAGAUUUGGCGCGUGUAGUUUAUUUUGUCGCUAAUUACGGUGGAGUGUGGUUAGAUUAUCAGCUUUGUUAGAUGAAUAGGGCAUGGAAGGAGCGGUGGAUAUGAGCUCCUACGGCAUAACUACUAUGCCUUGAGCAACGUCAGAGGAGCCGACUCCCGCUGAGAAUACAUUUUAUUUUCUUUAGCCGAUUAAUUCCAAUAAUUAAUGAGGGCUGAUGCACCCCGGGAGCAGCUGCCAAGAUGGAAGUUUUAGCAAAUAGGACGCCUUCCAUCAAAGGGAAACUACGACCAACUCCGCUCUCGUUGGCUGGCGAUGCAUGACGAGGCCAAUGGACAACUUGGUGCUACACAAAUGAAUCAAGGAGAACAUGCUAACAGACCAGCAACGUGCUAGGAGGCCAACGGGAGCAUUACCUGGUGUUGACCGGCGGGCAAAUGACAUCAUAUAUGUUUUUGUCCAACCAAGGUAACCCUCCAAACAGUGCCCUAAUAGUCAUCUAUUCCUUAAUGUUUUGGCCUGGAAACAAGUUUAGUUGCAACUCUUUUGCUAUCAAGUUUUCCAAAUUUCGUUCACUAGGGUUCCUUUCUUAUUAUCAUCUUCCAGAUAUAUAUUUUUGUAAUUACAUGAAUUCAGUUCUACUUCUAUCGUGUCUCCUUUUCACAUGUUUGCAUCCAGCUGAAUAUCCAUCUACAUGCAGGAUUUUUUCACAUGUGUAGUGCAGUCUAAAAAUUAUAAGCUAGGAUGUUAUGCCCUACCAUCUGCAAGAACAAUGGAUUGUGUACUGAACAUAAGUUUUUUUGCAAGUUUGCUCUUAGUUAUGUCUUUGGCGGGGCAUACUUGAUCAUAAAUUUUGUACGGAAGGUAAUAGCUAAAAAUACGUAUGCAGUUGUUACUUAAAUAGCUAACUCCGCCUAUGUCUUCUAGGCAUAGGCGGUCCCAAGCCCGGGUAAAGGAGGAGGGUUGUGAUAGGCUUGGCGAGCCAACGUAAAAACUAGCCAGUCCCAUAGGUAUGAAACCCAUUUGAGCGAGAAUAGUACUAGGAUGGGUGACCUCCUAGGAAGUCCUCGUGAAAGGGUUUCAUAUCUAAGGGUUGUGAUAGGCUUGGCGAGCCAACGUAAAAACUAGCCAGUCUUUUGGGUAUGAAACCCAUUUGGGCGAGAGUAGUACUAGGAUGGGUGACCUCCUGGGAAGUCCUCGUGAAAGGGUUUCAUAUCUAGCCUACCCCAACUUGUUUGGGAUAAAAGGCUUCGUAAGUAAGUAAGUUGUUACUUAAAUAUCAGAUUGUUCUAUAUUGUUUAGAUUUAAUUAGAGAAUGCAACUUAAUCAAUUAUGUCAUGUAUUGGCAAUAAGGGGUGCCGGUCAACCUACUAGGAGAUGGCAUAUAUGGGCCUUGAGGACAUGGCACCGUUCAGGAGGGCGGCAUUCCGACAACACUCCAGCAUAGACUCAUCGUGAUACAUGGACAUGGGCUGGUAAACAGAGGUAACAGGGAGCCUGAACAUCAGCACAUCAAGAAGGAAGCUGAUGAUGAUGAAUACGACCAUCUUGGCAUGGAUUGCUGCUGCUGCCAUGCCCAUGUCCAGCAACAUGUUGUUGUGCCAGUGCUGCAACCUUCUACUCCAAACACGAUCGCAGGCAAUGUGGUCAUGAACUUUUGGGAUACUUAAUGUUCCCUGUAUUUUUCUAGCAAUGUCUUAGGUAGGACGUAGAUGCAAGGGCUCAUAUAAAUAUCAAUGAAUUGAUAUUAGUUACCAUGAUAAUUUGGUUAUAUAUAUGACCAUAUCCGAAUCAUUUUAGGCUUAUAAUGGCAUUUGUUUUAAUGAUUUAUUUAUAGAGUAUUACAAUGGUGACAAUGGAGGGAUUCUUCUCUUUUUGUAUACCAUGUAUUUUUCAUGUUUA